UUUUUUGUUUUUUUUUUUUGAGAUAGGGUCUCACUGUGUGGCCCAGGCUGGAGUGCAGUGGUGCGAUCUCUGCUCGCUGCAGUCUCCACCUCCUGUGCUCAAGUGAUCCUCCCACCGCAGCCUCCUCAGUAGCCGGAACUAUUAGUGUGUACCACUACGCCCAGCUAAUUUUGGUAUUUUUGUAGAGAUGGGGUCUUGCUAUGUUACCCAGGCUGGUCUCAAACUCCUGGGUUCAAGUGAUUCACCCACUUUAGCCUCUCAAAGUUCUGGGACUGCAGAUGUGAGCCACAGUGUCUGGCCUAGCAAUUAUUCUUAACUGCAGUGUAGUUUCUGAGGGCAAAGUCAGUUUUGGACUUAAUUUAUGUUUAUUUAAAAAGGAUAUUUUUCUACUUUUUCCUUUCUCACCUCAAGUGCCAGCAAACUAGAGCUGAAAAGUCUUCAAAUCUAUUGGCCUCCUGUGCUUUUCACUGUUUAUUGUCUCUUCAACAGGCACUCUCCCUCUUCCUUCUAUGACAAGGACCCUGAUUCGACACGGCUGCCCAUGUUCCCAGCUCCAGGAGAUAAACGAAGUCAAACCUAAGCCACUCAUGACAAAUUUGUCUCCUGUGUAAUUGGUCUAGGCACAAGCACAUGACCCAUUUAUAGACAAUGAGACAGGCCCUUGUUGAAUUAGAACACUGCUGCUAAAAUUGAAAGCAUGAGAGAAAGCAAAAGCUGUUGGACCUCUUAUAGACGGUGACUGGAAUCAUCACAGUGACCCGUUACCACCUUCUCUUGUUCAAGGUGGCCGAGGAGGCCGUCGGAGGACCACAAAGCUGCAAGUGGCUUUCCUGCGGCCUGCAGGGAACAGGUGGAGGACACUUGGAAGGGCACCCACCCCGGGUCUCACAGGAGUCUGCACCCGCAGGUCACACUGGCAUUAGCCCCUCAUCCUCUGGAGUUCAUCUCAUCCAGGCGAAGACAGCUGGCUGGCCUCAGAGGGUGAGACGCAACUCGAGGGUAAAAACAUUUUUACAGGGCAUGGACACAAAAGUGGCCUUUACCUCUGGAUAAGCUUUUAAAACUUCCCAUUUACAUGUAAAGGUGUACUUUCUAUGUGCCACCAAGAAACCUAAAGUGAGUAAAAGGUGUUUCACUUUAAUCAAGUUCCCCAAUGAGGGGGCACAGCUCUGAAAAGCACUGUCACAACAGGAGAUUCGAGGGUGCAUGCAAAGCAAUGUUUCUAGAAAAUGCCAAAGGAAACAGACACAACUCCAGUGUGGACUCCCGCUUCCCUGCACUGCUGCUCCAUCCUCAGGGCGGAGGCCACAUCGUCCAGCUAGCUGUGAGAACCUCAUCAUGCUCCUUGAUUGUGUGCAGCAGGUGUCUGCUGAAGUCCUCCACACUCUGCCUGUCUCAUCCGCUGAGCAGUGCCUCCUCCCGAUUCAGCACGUCCCUGGUGCCGACUUUCUGCACGUGUUCACUUUGAGGCUGCAUUGUGGGCCUGCAAGAAAUGCAAAGCUGGUUGAGGCUUUAUUCAAUUCAAAUUCAAGCUGUUAAAUCGAGGCUCUCAGACUCCUGCUGCCUGGCCAGUGGAGAAAUUAACUUUCACAUAUGGCUUUGGGAUUUCUCUCUGUCAUCCUGGUCGACGUGUUCUCUCAUUUUUCUGAAGUCUGGGACCUCAACACAGACAUCUGGGUGAAGGCCUUGACAGCAGCGCUGGUGCAAAAUGAAUUGUCACAUCACACCCAACGUUCUCAACCUUUAGAAUCUGAAAGUAAGAAAAACACCUCAAACAUUGAUUCUGAGUAAUCAGCACAGAUUUCUAAAAGAAACUUUAUGGGAUGCUGAGACAUGAAUAAAAACAACUUUAUUCCUUUGGAAAGGACAACCCACAUGCUAAGAAGAUGACACUACACGUUGUUAUAGCCCGAAAGGCCCUCUUUCCACAGGGGAGCAGUGAAAAGUAGAGGUUGCCCAUGUGGAUUCCCAAGUCAGAUAGAUGUGGAUUCAGAUCCCAGCUCUGCUGCUUGCUACCCAAGAGACCAUGGACUGUGGACUCUUUAGGUCUCAGGGUUUUUGUUUGUUGUCUGUUUUUCACUUCCAAAACCAGAAAAUGAGAAGAUAUUUUCCAUAAGAUGGCGGUGGUGAGUAAAUGUAAUUAUAUGUCUAAAGCUAUGGGCAUGAAAGCUUGGCACACAUUUAAGUAAGUGCUUGAUAAAUGUUAAUUCUUACAACUAUUGGUAUCAUUUAGAUUUAGGUUGCUGAGUUAGUGGGAAAUAAUGUCCUUAUCAUGUGAGGAAUCCCUAUUCUCAAAAGGGGUUAUUAUCAUUAGAAUGCUAACUGUUUUCAAAACAGCUAAUUGACCAUUUUAUUCAGAAGCACCAUCUGCUACUCAUUAGGGUCUAGGUUUCUGUCAGCUCACGGGUGCCCAUAUGUGAGUUGAUAACCCUAUUUCAGUCUUGGUUGUUGAAUCCUCAGUGUCUGCGGUUGACUGACUAUCAGGUAUUUGCAUCUCUGAAAGUAAUUUUCAGCAGUGAGUUUUUAGUUAGGUUCUUUGGUUACAGUUCUGGAUAAUUAACACUAAAAUGAGACAUCUUAGAAGGCUUUGGCUCAGAUAAUUGAGAGAAGUGAAUGUUGAACAAGAUUCAGGAAGGGAAGAGCUGGGAUACCCCAAUGUCUGGAUUUCAUGCUCUUUUUCUCCAAGCACAUCCACUGUGGGGCUUGGCCUCAAUCCCCUAGAUGUCUUCAAUAUAAUCUUCAAUUGUCAGGAGAAGAGAACUUGAUGGACCUUGCUUGGACAAAAUGCCUUCACCGCUAACUCAGUCAGCUAUGGCGAUGGGUCAAGGACCUGGUGGUUUUACAGAGAAGACCCUUGGUCAAAUCUUUGUGAAUGAAGCAACCAUUCUGAUGUUCAAUAACAGGGUAAGUGCUGGCCAAUGAUGUCAUUAUCGUCCAUCCUGUGGCUUCCACACAUCAGUGAUCUUAUUAGAUACCUGCAAUUUCAACCCACUAUAUCAGAAUUCCAUAGGAAUGAGUUGUUUUUAAAGUUCUUCAGAGUGAAUUUGGAUGCUCAGUCAUUAUAAAGAACUAUCUUCAUCCUACAAAGACUGGUGUUUUUUCUUUCCUUGUUUAUCUUGGAAUUUUUUUCCAAUUGCAGCCUUGAAAACCAUUUCCAAUAAUGUCAGAAUUUGCUUAAAAGAUUGUGAAAGACGGUAAUCUGGAUUGUAAUACUGGGUCAAAGAGACCAUACCAGGAGCCAACCAUGCUAAAUCUAACUUUAAAAUACAGAAUUACAAUGUUAAGACAAGUUCCAUAGAGUGAUAAGGUCUAUGUGGUACUUACUAUUUUACACACAUUUUCCUACACUUAGUGUAACUGUCUCCUAAUUAAAUGCAAUUGUUUUAAAUUAGCUGAUGUGUGUUUUAUGUGAUAUAGCUUUAUAUCCUAAGCCAGAAUAAAAAUAUUCUGAGAGUG
rnacentral:lncRNA from 1 species